CGGAGGGUGCAAGCGUUAUCCGGAUUCACUGGGUUUAAAGGGUGCGUAGGCGGGCAGGUAAGUCCGUGGUGAAAUCCCCGAGCUUAACUCGGGAACUGCCAUGGAUACUAUUUGUCUUGGAUAUUGUGGAGGUAAGCGGAAUAUGUCAUGUAGCGGUGAAAUGCUUAGAUAUGACAUAGAACACCAAUUGCGAAGGCAGCUUACUACACAGUUAUUGACGCUGAGGCACGAAAGCGUGGGGAUCAAACAGGAUUAGAUACCCUGGUAGUCCACGCCCUAAACGAUGAUUACUCGACAUCAGCGAUACACUGUUGGUGUCUGAGCGAAAGCAUUAAGUAAUCCACCUGGGAAGUACGAUCGCAAGAUUG
rnacentral:rRNA from 1 species